rnacentral:rRNA from 1 species
CACGUAGGGUGCGAGCGUUGUCCGGAUUUACUGGGCGUAAAGAGCGCGCAGGCGGUCGUGCAAGUCGCGUGUGAAAGCCCCCGGCUCAACUGGGGAGGGUCACGCGAUACUGCUCGACUCGAAGGCAGGAGAGGGAAGUGGAAUUCCCGGUGUAGUGGUGAAAUGCGUAGAUAUCGGGAGGAACACCAGUGGCGAAGGCGACUUCCUGGCCUGUUCUUGACGCUGAGGCGCGAAAGCUAGGGUAGCAAACGGG